rnacentral:rRNA from 1 species
AUUGAACGCUGGCGGCAUGCUUUACACAUGCAAGUCGAACGGUAACAGGCCGCAAGGUGCUGACGAGUGGCGAACGGGUGAGUAAUGCAUCGGAACGUGCCCAGUCGUGGGGGAUAACUACCGAAAGGAUAGCUAAUACCGCAUACGAUCUGCGGAUGAAAGCGGGGGACCUUCGGGCCUCGCGCGAUUGGAGCGGCCGAUGUCAGAUUAGGUAGUUGGUGGGGUAAAGGCUCACCAAGCCAACGAUCUGUAGCUGGUCUGAGAGGACGACCAGCCACACUGGGACUGAGACACGGCCCAGACUCCUACGGGAGGCAGCAGUGGGGAAUUUUGGACAAUGGGCGCAAGCCUGAUCCAGCAAUGCCGCGUGCAGGAAGAAGGCCUUCGGGUUGUAAACUGCUUUUGUACGGAACGAAACGGUCCUGGUUAAUACCCGGGGCUAAUGACGGUACCGUAAGAAUAAGCACCGGCUAACUACGUGCCAGCAGCCGCGGUAAAAC